CUGAGAACCCUGAGCCCAAACCACCCAUUCUUUAGACUGCUCCCGGAUACCACUGGAACUAUGUGGGACACCUGCCCACAGCAUGGCUUGACACCUGGGUUCCGAACUGACGAAGCCUAGGCCACCAAAGUGGACCAUGCAAACUUAAUCCCUGUGCCACCAGGGGCCCUGGUCCUAUCAUUUUAAAACAAUUCCCCUGGCUCACCGCUGACAGAUCUUGAUAUCCAAGAGGGAGUCGGCUUGCAGGAUUAAAGGCAGGAACCUCAAUUAGACACUCUCUGAUUUCUUCAGAUGUUUUUUCUAAUCUUUUAAUAUGGGAUUAUAGGCAGCUAGAACCUAUAUUGCUGCUAUAAAAAUAGUGAAGACUCUUUGUUCUAAAUCAUAAGCACUCGACGUUUUAAAAAUGUCUGUUUUUCUUAAUUCGAAUUAAUUCUGGUCUAGAUGAGGAUAAUGAACUUUGGUCAGCUCUUUG
rnacentral:lncRNA from 1 species